AUGAAAGAGAAAGAUAGUGAUUUAUCUUACACAGUUCAAGUGGAUGAUGAAAGCCGGAUUAGGACAUUGUUGUGGUCUAAUGGUAGAAGCAAAUUGCAAUACCACUAUUUCGGAGAUGCAGUGACAUUUGACACUACUUACAAGACAAACCUGUAUGACAUGCCGUUUGGGCUGUUUGUAGGUGUUAACAAUCAUUUCCAGAGCACUAUUUUUGCUGGUGUUCUUAUGAGGGACGAGCAGUCAGAAAGUUUUGAACAGGUUUUCCGUGAGUUUGUGAAGAUGAUGGGAGGAAAGGUUCCAGUGACUAUUCUUACUGAUAAUUUUUUUGUUUGUUUUCAAUCUGAAAAGUUAAUAAAAGAUGUCAUUUGUGCUAUAGGAAUGAUUUUGAUUAGUACUAUAUAUGUAAUUUAUGGUAAUAUAAAUAAUUUUUAA
rnacentral:rRNA from 1 species